UUUAUGGAGAGUUUGAUCCUGGCUCAGGACGAACGCUGGCGGCGUGCUUAACACAUGCAAGUCGAACGAGACGAGUUUUCAACACUGAAUGCUUAAUGAAGUAACUUGAAGCGUCAUUGCGACGAAGUCGCAAUUUCACUUUUAUAAAGUGCUUAACUAAGAAUUGAGCAUUGAGUGUUGAAAAUGAGUCGAGUGGCAAACGGGUGAGUAACGCGUAGACAACCUGCCGCAAAGAUGGGGACAACAGUCCGAAAGGACUGCUAAUACCGAAUGUUGUCAAGCUCCCGCAUGAGAGACUGAUUAAAGAUGGCCUCUACUUGUAAGCUAUCGCUUUGCGAUGGGUCUGCGUCUGAUUAGCUAGUUGGUGGGGUAACGGCCUACCAAGGCGACGAUCAGUAGCCGGUCUGAGAGGAUGAACGGCCACAUUGGAACUGAGACACGGUCCAGACUCCUACGGGAGGCAGCAGUGGGGAAUCUUCCGCAAUGG
rnacentral:ncRNA from 1 species